UCCUUAUUUAUAGACUACAUAUAUUUUUAGCAUGGCGUAAAAAACGAUACCACGAGUCACUUAGUUAAAGCUCAGAAUGUGGGGAAAACGGCAUAGGCUCAGGUCCAUGGCAUCCAACUCAAAGAACUUACCAGAAGCAUAUCACUCCUCAACUCUCCAUGCAGGCAUUGCAAUGAGUUACUCAUCGAUUAAUACAUGUAUUUCAUCUACAGAAGAUAAUACUACAGCUUGAAGAACUAUGAACUGAGAGCUUAAUCAACCAUCUAAAUACUUGUGAAUAUAAUUUAUGGAAAUUUCUUAUCGGUCUGAUGCACAGCACAGCAGGAAGGGCAGCAUGCUAUCAGAGCUGGCAGGCUGUGGGAGCUGAGGCCGUCUCGUAUACAGACAAAAGAGAAAUGUUGCACAAUGGAGCAGUUUAAAGAGCAGAAAGAGUCAUACAAGUUCAAAGGAAAAGGGAAUUGAUAACCUUGCUACCUCUUCAUUCGGAUUCAAAGAGAAGAACAGCAUUGGAAGAAGAUUGUAAAGGAUGUUAGAAUCAGUAGAUUUACUUGCUUGUCAUAACUUAAAGGUUGUCUGUGAUGUUGGAUUGCCAGAAGAUUAAAUCCUGUACUGGAGGAAUUGAAAUGUUAAAGUGACACUUUUAACAGCACAUUUGAUGAAAAUGGUGAUGUCUUCUGCAAGAUGCACUGCACAGUGCUACCGUUCUCUUUUCAGCUUUAUAAGAACAAAAUUUUUGGAGAAAGAAAUUGAGGACUUGGAUCAAUGACUGUGGCUCUCACGUUCUACAGAGCCGUAGUGCUCUCACUCUUGAGGACCUGGUGGAAGCAUAAUAAAGUCAAUGGCUGAUUUACCAUUGACUUCCAUAAAAAUUUAUCUCCUGUGAUCUAAGGUAAUGUCCAUGAGUAAAUGGAAGAUUGCUGAAGCAGUUCAUCUCAUCCUUUUAGCUGGCUAAUAGCCAGGAAAUUACAUGAACUGUUGUGUGUAGAACAGAAAUUAUCUGAUCUAACUUCAAAAAUGUUUGGAGGCAUUUACAUGCAUUAUUAUUUGUUGUGAAGCACUCUUCAUAGACACAACUCUGGGAAAGACACGUAGUAAAUCACAGAAUCAUAGGAUCAGGGCAUAAUACAGAUUUAAAAGGAACUCUGGGAGUCUUCCAGCCUCUCUCUAGAAUUAGCACUGAAGCCCACAGGAAUUCUCCCAUCAAUGUCAAUAAGAACAGGACUAAUGUCAUCUUCUGUGAAUUGCUAUAAUCUACUGUGUUUUUCUACCUUACAUAACUUCCAAAUUUAAAGGUUUGGGUUUUUUUUUUUUUUUUUUUUUUUUUGAAAAGUACCUCAGAAAGUAACCUGCUGAGCAUCAGCUGUAGAAGAAAAGGUGAUCAGAAAUGGGACAGACAGGUUGAAAAAGGGCAGAGACAACAGGCCCAAGAGAUGUAGCUGAAAAGAAACAGGUCAGGAAGAGAAGACUGGGGAUAGCUUUCCCUUACAUGUUUAAUCUUCACAGUAGUUGAAUCACUUUUUUUUUUUUUUAACAGAUAAUACAUAGUGCAGCCAUAUGAUAUGUGUGAUAGUAAGUAUGUCAACUCUGCCUCCUCUUGAGAGACUGAGAUUAAAGAGGUGGAAACUGUAAAUGCUCUGGGAUCUCAGAAUAAUGUUCUUUUCUAUGGGAAUGAAGUUUUUCCAUUUAGGUUUUGCUGAUUAUUACUUCAUGGGAAAGAUAUUACAAUAUCUCACUACUGUUUAUAAGAACCUGUAGGGAAGGAAAAAGUGUUGAGAAGGAGAAGAGCUAAGUCAGUGUAGGAUUUGAAAGAAAAAACUAUAAUUUCCUGGCUGAACUGCAGUAAAAGAAAUCCAAGCACAAAAGGAGGGAUGAGUAAAAUAAUGAGACAAACACAGAUUGGGAGUAUAUUUCAUUUACUAAAAGGUAGGUGCAGAAAGAAGAGAUAAAUACCAGGAUACAUUGGAGUUGCUUUGUAAAUACAACUGUGAGGACUUUGGAAGAGUAAAAAAUGGCAUUAGUAGGGUGUCAGUCAUGUCAUCCUCAGACAGGCACGUUGUCUGGGUAGCUCUCUGGUAGUGCUUGUUCUUCUCCAUUUGGGCACUAGAGGAGCCUAUUUGGACACUCAUCCUAUAGAUGCCUAUGUUGAGACAGAACAAUUAUACCCUCAGGUGGGACUCCUCUUUUCCAGCCUCAGAUAUCAACAGCAUAGAUCUAUAUUUCUAAAGUAAGCAUAUUAGGCUCUCUUUGUGCUCACUGGGGAGAAAUAAGGGCAAAAUCCAUUCGACCUAUUUGUGUCUUAAGCUCAUUUUGUACAAGAUAAACUGUGUCCUAGAGGUGUCUAUUAUGGGAGUUUAUGGUGUCAAGAUCAGGUGUAAAUGUCUGUAUUCUGGACAUCUUAGAACACCACCCUGUAAACAACUUUACCUUGCAGGCAGAUUUCAGAGGUUCGUUAGGUUGUUAGCAACAUCAACGACACUUUCAUAGCCUGGGUCAUCUAAAGGGCACUGUGAUCAUCCAUGCAUCCUUUACUCUGGGCUGGUUUUGGUAUUAGCUACCUUCUCAGCUUUUUUCCAUUCAUCAGGAUCACAGAAUUGUUGAGGCUGACAGGGCCUUCUGGAUCCAUCUGCUCCAGCCCCUUCUCCAGCAGGGACACCCAGAGCAGGGUGCCCAGGGCCACAUCCAGGCAGCUCUGGGAGAUCCACAAGGAGGAGACCUCACAGCCUCGGAGCAGCCUGUGCCAGUGCUCCGUCACUGCACAGCACAUAAGGGCUCCUGGUGUUCAGAGGGAACCUCCUGUGCUCCAGUUUGUGUCCAUGGCCUCUGGCCCUGGCACUGCAGACCACUGACAGAGCCUGGCUCCGGCAUCAGGCACCCUCCCUUCAUUUAUUCAUGACCAAAACACACCUGCUUCAGGAGACUCCUGCUCUGUCUUUGCUUCCUUCUUCUCCCACCACUGUGCUGGAGAUGACACAUUUCAGCCAUCCAGG
ensembl:lncRNA